CUACGUGCCAGCAGCCGCGGUAAUACGGAGGAUGCGAGCGUUAUCCGGAUUUAUUGGGUUUAAAGGGUGCGUAGGCGGCCUGUUAAGUCAGCGGUGAAAUCUAGGGGCUUAACUCCUAAAUUGCCAUUGAUACUGGUGGGCUUGAGUGUAGAUGAGGUAGGCGGAAUGCGUGGUGUAGCGGUGGAAUGCAUAGAUAUCACGCAGAACUCCAAUUGCGAAGGCAGCUUACUAAGGUACAACUGACGCUGAAGCACGAAAGCGUGGGUAUCAAACAGGAUUAGAUACCCUGGUAGUCCACGCAGUAAACGAUGAUAACUGGGCGUAUGCGAUAUACAGUAUGCUCCUAAGCGAAAGCGUUAAGUUAUCCACCUGGGGAGUACGCCGGCAACGGUGAAACUCAAAGGAAUUGACGGGGGCCCGCACAAGCGGAGGAACAUGUGGUUUAAUUCGAUGAUACGCGAGGAACCUUACCCGGGAU
rnacentral:rRNA from 1 species